GAUGAAGAACGUAGCGAAAUGCGAUAAGUAAUGUGAAUUGCAGAAUUCAGUGAAUCAUCGAAUCUUUGAACGCACAUUGCGCCCGCUAGUAUUCUGGCGGGCAUGCCUGUUCGAGCGUCAUUUCAACCAUCAAGCCCUGUUUAGGCUUGUGUUGGGGACCUGCGGCUGCCGCAGGCCCUGAAAACCAGUGGCGGGCUCGCUGUCACACCGGGCGUAGUAGAUUAUAUCUCGCUCAGGGCGUGCUGCGGGUUCCGGCCGUUAAAAAGCCUUAUUUACCCAAGGUUGACCUCGGAUCAGGUAGGAAUACCCGCUGAACUUAAGCAUAUCAAUAAGCGGAGGA
rnacentral:misc_RNA from 1 species